UCCCUGGUGGCUCAGAGGUUAAAGCGUCUGCCUGCAAUGCAGGAGACCUGGGUUUAAUCCCUGGGUCGGGAA
rnacentral:tRNA from 1 species